AACGAACGCUGGCGGCAGGCUUAACACAUGCAAGUCGAACGCAUCGCAAGAUGAGUGGCAGACGGGUGAGUAACGCGUGGGAAUCUACCCAGAUCUACGGAACAACAGUUGGAAACGACUGCUAAUACCGUAUACGCCCUACGGGGGAAAGAUUUAUCGGAUUUGGAUGAGCCCGCGUAAGAUUAGCUAGUUGGUGGGGUAAAGGCCUACCAAGGCGACGAUCUUUAGCUGGUCUGAGAGGAUGAUCAGCCACACUGGGACUGAGACACGGCCCAGACUCCUACGGGAGGCAGCAGUGGGGAAUAUUGGACAAUGGGCGCAAGCCUGAUCCAGCCAUGCCGCGUGAGUGAUGAAGGCCUUAGGGUUGUAAAGCUCUUUCACCGAUGAAGAUAAUGACGGUAGUCGGAGAAGAAGCCCCGGCUAACUUCGUGCCAGCCGCCGCCGCAAUAA
rnacentral:rRNA from 1 species